UACGUAGGGCGCAAGCGUUGUCCGGAAUUAUUGGGCGUAAAGAGCUCGUAGGCGGUUUGUCGCGUCGGGAGUGAAAACCCAGGGCUUAACCCUGGGCUGGCUUUCGAUACGGGCAGACUAGAGGUAUGCAGGGGAGAACGGAAUUCCUGGUGUAGCGGUGAAAUGCGCAGAUAUCAGGAGGAACACCGGUGGCGAAGGCGGUUCUCUGGGCAUUACCUGACGCUGAGGAGCGAAAGUGUGGGGAGCGAACAGG
rnacentral:rRNA from 1 species